GUUACGACUUCACCCCCCUCACCAAGCACACCUUAGGUACCCCCUCUCCCUGCGGUUAAGGGAAAUAACUUCGGGUGUCCCCAACUCGGGGGGUGGUGACGGGCGGGGUGUACAAGGCCCGGGAACGGAUUUACCGCAGCGGGCGUAGCGUCGAGUACGAGCGAGUUCAACGUUAAUGAGGUGAGGUUCAGACGUCAAAUUUAACGACGGACGUUUUUUUUGGAGUUGCGUCACCGUGCGGGAAUUCGACCCCUUGUACAGCCCAUUGGAGCACGGGUGUAGCCCAGGACAAAAGGGCCAAUAGGACGUUACGGUAAUCCCACCUUUCCUCGGCUUUUCACCGGCAGUUUUCGCGUAAGUGCCCGGCCUUUCCCAGAGUGCAACGUG
rnacentral:rRNA from 1 species